ACGACAUGCUUUACGAAGCGCUACAACAAUUGUAUCAUAUGGGAAGCAUGGCUAACAGCUUAGUUCAAACGAUUACAGCACAAGAUAAUAAAAAGCAAUUUCUUAUGGCUUGUCUUUUUUCAGAACAAGAACUUGUCUUAAAAGACUUCUCUGUUAUGGAAAAUUUCAAACAGUACAUACAUGUGUUGGCUACUAAACCAGUCGAUCAGUUACCAAUACCCGAUGGUUAUUUUAUGAAAGGAAGAUCAAUAUAUUUGCGGAACAAUUGUAACCAUGGGGAAGCUAGACUUUUAGAUCCAGACGGAGAAAUUCGCAAAAAAAACAACACCAGCAAUACACAGACAGUUAAUGAUGAUUGCAAUACAUUUUUACAGGACAUGGAGUUAUCAUUUAGGGAACAGUUUGGUGAUUCUACGAGACCAUACCUGCUUAUUUACAGCCACUAUGUGCCUUGUACUAUACCUUCACACUUUUGUGCCGGGCUACUUAAACAGUUUGUCAGAAAAACGGGUUAUAAUGUAUUGGUGGGAUACACGGAUGUGUUUUUCAAAAGCAAUUGUGAAAAAGCAUUAAAAACUCUUCGGGAAUCUGGAAUUCAGGUUAGACAUAUACCCCGGGAACAGUGGACUACUCAAAUGUGUUGCUUGUUCAAAUACAUGAUAAUACUUCAACAAUCUCAACAAAGAAUGAAGGAGGAGAAUGGAAUUAUAUCCGUUCUAUCUAGUCAUUUAUUGAGUGCAAAACAACCCAUGGCGAAAUGUAUAAGGAUAUGUUGAUCAUUAAAUGAUUAUAAAUACAUUGUCUGUAUUGUGAAUGUUUUAUUCGAAUGAUUUGUCAAAGCAAAACAAAGAUUGCACCAAGUGUUUGAGUUUGGAAAAGUGGAUUAUUUCUUAAAAAAAUACGACGGAUACGAAAGAUGUACGAGAGUAACAAAACAGAAUUCGACAGACAAGAUUACAUGCGAAAAUGUAAAUGAGGCAAGAGACGAAUCGGAUGUUAAAGAUGAAUGAUCAUUUAUGUGACCCACCCCCACCUCGCCCAUCUCCAGUGUAUUGGACAAGUACUUUUGAACGAAAAAGUGCGCGUGCAACAAACUAAAUAAGAUGAACGGACAAUUGACCGCAGCAUAUAAUAUAGAGGCGAUCGGAAUGGUCAGGAAUACAACAGCUUGGCAUGACAGUGUGUUCGAGUACUUCCGGUUGUAUCAAGUAAAUUCUGACGAGGAUGUAUCGACAGAGAUCGACAGUUGAACAUUUUGGAUGCAUUAUGUUAAACUAACGAUUCAUUUAUAAUUAAUUAUCUUCUUUAUGGCUUUGUUUUCUUUACUGUUUAAAAUUAUGUUGAACCCAGAUACAUGUUGUAAGGUCUGAUCCAUAUGAAGCGUGUGAUCAUACAAAUAAAACUGGGACCGUAAAAAUUAUGCAUGGUACAUUUUUACUUC